GAUCGUGGCCGGGGCCCCUCCGCCCCCGACGCGACCGCAGAACCGGGUCGGACUGUCCCCCAGUGCGCUCCCGACCGCGUCGCGGCCCAGGGCGGGGACCGGCCCACGACCCAAAGGCGCCACGGGUCAGCGGCGACGUCGGCACCCACCC
rnacentral:rRNA from 1 species